rnacentral:lncRNA from 1 species
GUUCAUCCGAUGACGGGUAAGGACCGUAUGUUGAAUUGGACUGCCUAACAGGCACAGUCCCUAAGCCACAUGCUUGUUGUUUAAACAGAGAGGGGGAGAUGUUGAGAGCCACAGCCUGAGGGGCCCCAGCAAACUUCCAGCUGCCGGCUGAUGAUUGGCUCACAGCGGCCCCAGCAACAUCUAGCUGAUUGGCUCCUCUGCGGUGCUGCUCAUUGGGGGACUUUUUUGGCUCAACCCACGUGACC